GUGUUCACUCAUCUCAGCAAAGACUUAGGUUCGAUUCCCCACAUGGUACAGCGUGUGAAGCCCAUUUCUGGUGUCCCCUUUGGUGAUAUUGCUGGAAUAUUACUAAUAGCGGCAUAACAGUUAACUUUCUGUGAUCUAGUCCUUCUUUUCAACCAGUUAAGUAGUGUCCUGAUUCGAUGAGUGGGAAAUCAGGAAGACACAGACCAGUGAGCUCUCAUUUAAUAUCACAGAGGCGGUGGGGUAGCCUAGUAGUUAAAGCAUUCACUCUUCAUGCUGAAGCCCCAGGUUCGAUUCCCCACAGGGAUACAAUGUGUCAAGUCCAUUCCUGGUGUCCCCAGUCAUGAUAUUGCUGGAAUAUUGCUAAAAGCAACGUAAAACCAUACUCACUCAAUAAAAGUGAUGUUAAACUAAAACUCACUCACUCACUAACUAUGAUUCACAGUCAGUAGUGUGUGCAAUGUGCAUUUUGGUGUCAGCGCUACAUGCUAUUUCCCUGUCAGGCAUGGUAGGAUUUACACAAAGGUCACUUAUAAUGUGUUCCUUGUUGACUUUCAUGAGUUAUUCAUGGCAUCGUUUCAACAGCUGACGAUAAAUAGACACCCUCACCACACCACUAUGCCAAAAGGUAGCUGUGUGUGUUCACCAGUGUUGGAGGAACAUAGUUUAUUGAAGGGUUUUUCAGGUAUUUUUUCUCAAUAUUUGGGUACCCGUGAAGUAUUGCUGAUGGGUUGAGACUGAGCUCUGAGUGUCAGAAACUGUCGGUGAAGAUUCCAAGCGAAAUUUGCUUGUCAUGUGGGAAGACUUGAAGUGCUCACAUGAGUUAUAUUAUAUUCAUAUCUGUGAUAAAAUCAACACUUUUGUGGAGUUUGAUUACAAAUGUGGGGGUUAUAAAUUUUAUAAUCAAGGUUGAAUUUUCAGAAGAAAUAAUGGUGAUGGAAAUUUGCUACAUAAUGAAAGAGACAACAAGUAUAAUGAUGUUUAUUUAUGUAUCUUGAUUUCUACAUGUCUUGUUUAUCGUGUACAUAUGUAUUUUUGUUGUUUGUUCAAGAAUUGAUAUGUUUUAGUUUAUCAGUAACAUAGAUCUAUGAUGCUGUAAUGGACAUGAACCAUCAUCCUUGAUGAUCAAGGGUGUGCCAUCUCAAUUCUGUUUUGAUAAAUACCCUGGAAACAAUAGCUAUCAAAGCUGCGAUCUAAACUCAUUCAAAAGGCACAGUCCAAAUAAAUCUGGGCAGUUGGGUAGCCUAGUGGUUAAAGCGUUCGCUCAUCACCCGAAGACCCGGGAUCAAUUCCCCACAUUGGUACAAUGUGUGAAGCUCAUUUCUGGUGCCUCCUGCCGUGAUAUUGCUGGAAUAUUCCAGAAAGCGGCAUAAAACUAAAUUCACUCACUCACUCCAAAUAAAUCCAUCCAGUGAAAUUACUCAUAUCAGUUCUCUACAUGCUAACAGAUGCGUAGCCAAGAUGAAGAUGAAAAUUUCACUUAUGGCAUUACUAUGGUGGUGAUGGGGUCCAGGGUGCCGAUGUCCAAACUUCUAGACGCUACGACUAGCGUAAGUCUAUGUUAAGGUAUAGGAGUUUUGGUCACCUUAGCAAAGCUUUGAACAAUGGCAUCCAGGGUUUUUGUCAAAAUAGUAAGGCGAUGACUUAUCCUGGGUAAUCAAGGACGACACUUAGAUGUAUAUUCUCAACAUGUUUUGCACAUAUUUCAAUGGUAAUUCCUCUGUUCUGACACAUGCUUCCUGUUUUUACACCUUUUUAUUCUUACCAGACUUUUAUCAGAAUUUUGUUUCAUUAUUUGUUAGCAUCCCGUUGGGUCAUGAUCAGCUGAUUUUUCUAUUAUGUGAAAUCCUUCAAAUGAACUGAUUUAUGGUAGAUACAGGAUAUAUCUCAACAUGCAUGUGGCUCAGGAGGAGGUUAGGGGGCCCUCAAGAGGUGCAGCGUAGGAGUCUCACAUUAUUGGAAAUUGUGUUCUCAAUAAGUGUUCAACCUCUGUUUGUCUAGACCUGGCUGACAGGACUGGGUGAUCAGACUUGCUACCUUUGCUGCAUGUCAUUGUAUCUCUGUAGUCCCUAGUCUGUGUGAUCUGUGAUUCUAGCUGAUCAUGGCUUAGGAUACACAACCCAGCUGGAGACAUCACAACAGGUCUGCAUAUUCUUUGCCUUCUGUUCCAUCAAUAACCAGCUUGUAAUCGGGGGAUUCCUAUCUUCAUAAAAAUCUUUCAUGGUACAUUUGUAGCAUGAUACAGCAUUCUGGUCACCAGUAGAAGUAUUUUGAAAACAAAAGGAGUAUCUUCAUAGAAACACGUUUUUCAUGUAAUACACAUAACAGAAUUGAUUUCACUUCAGACCCAAAAUAUGUUAAUUGUUGACAUAGUAGCAAAUACACAGACAAUCUAUGGCCGAUGCAGAUAUCAGUUAGAUGGAACAUUUAAUUAGUUUCAUUCUGACAAAGUCAUUGUACUACAGUAGAGAUUGCAAUCAAAGCCUGAAUACAUGACCAAGAGAUGUAAUUGUUUACCAAUAUGAACACAUAUUUUACCUAUUCAUGCAUGUUAGGUAUAUUGCCAGGAAAUACUGUCCUCCAGAGCCCUGUUUCACAAAGCUCGCGUAAGCCUAAGAUCUCGUAACUUUUUUCGUAGCAUUUGUACCUCUUAUACUGUAACAUAGGAGGUAUGGAUGCUGUGAGAAAGGUUUCAAGAUCUUAGGCUUACGAGAGCUUUGUGAAACGGGGCCCAGUAAUGUUAUUGCCUGUUUAGAGUUGCCUUGCCAAGAAAAUGUCAAUAUGUCCCCCAUCCUGUAAAGUGCAGACAAAUGUGACAGUUGAUGAGUUGCAGACUGACAUAAACGAGAUUGCACUGCAGCCACUUACUGCAACCCUUUCAAUUACCAAAUAGCCUUUCCUGUACUGCCGGCAGUAGAAUAAAUCAGGACAUUAAAUGUGAGGGCAGCUCCAGCAAACUCAUCUGAGUAGAUUCUGUUGUCUGGGACAAGAGUCAAGAAUAACUGAUCAUGUGUUUAGCAAAUACCACAGCUUGGCCAUCAGAGUAGGUUUGGCAUAUAUUGGAGUAGGUUUGGCCACAUCUAUACAUUAAGUAAUCCUUAUUAAUGUGUUAGGGGCAGUGUGGUAGUGUUCGAUCAUGCCAAUGACCCAGGUUCAAUUCGAUACAUGGGUACUGUGUCUAUACUGUUUGUUAGACAACCUAUCACAGCUAUGGCAGAGUAGUGGGUGUGUCGUACAGAUUGCGAGACCUUGUUCACCUGACCUUGUAUCGGUAAUCUUCCAUGAUAGCAAUGCAGUGGGUGUAUGUGGCACCAACUGAACAUGCAUUGUCAGCAAGUUUCAAGUAUGUGAAGCCCCUGUAAAUUCAUUCUUGUAGAGACACGGCCUGUGUGUAGUCACAUGUGCCAGUUUAACAGCACUGUCAACUUAAGGUUUAGCUGCAGUGAGUAGCAGGAGAGCUAGGGGUAGUUCUAACAGUGAUGCUGAAGGGUAAAGAUCCCAACACCCUAAGCCUGCUUGUCAUAAGAAUAACUUCACAUGGCAGUUUUGAAGAUUACAAUGAUGUGAUUUUUGUUUGUUUGUGUGUUGUUUAACGCCACACUUAGCAAAAUUCCGGCCAUAUGACGGCGGGCCAGACAAUCCAUUGAUCAACAUCAUGAACAUCAAUCUACUCAGGAUACAAUGACAUAUGUCAACCAAGUCAGCGAGCCUGACCACCUGAUCCCAUUAGUCACCUCUUAUGACAAAUAUUGGUUUCUGAAGACCAAUUCUAACCCGGAUCUUUGCGAGUCAUUAAUGAUAUGAGCUGUCUUUGAAAGUAAUGCUUUAAGGAAAGCUGAUUUGACAGGAUAUAUUUUUAACUUGGGAAAGGAAAUCCCUGAUGAAUUUUUGGCAGGACAAUUGUGUUUCUUCUUCCUGAAUGCCCCAGCAGAGAGUCAGGAGAUCAGCAGACAAUGACAUCACCGGACAGAGCUUGUUGACAUUGUCAUAGCCAGGCAUGGGGGUUAGCUCAACAGGGUCAGGGUCAAGUCCAAACUGAGAUUGCUAUUUAUACUACAUCAAGUAGAACAAGGCAUGUGGGGUGUUUUUGGUGGGGGGUUCAGAAAAGUCUGUGGCAUAUAUGGAUGCCAUAACAUUCCAAUCAUUCAUGUUGAUACAGAGAUAGGAAUGAUAUGUUUGUCCAGUGUUGGCAUCUUUAACAUUGUACUACAAUGAAUACAGAUCUGUGAUCAAUCCCCCAAACAGGACUCGGGCUUACUCUAAACCACCUUGCAACUUAUGAGUCCCUAUCUACAAAACCUUCGUAGCACUACGACAAUCGUAAGCCUAUAAUAAAGUGUAGAGUUACCACAGGUUGUAACAUUUACAAACGCUUUCUGGAUCGGGACCAUGGUAUCUAUCACUCAGAAGUGAUGUCAUAGUUUGUUUCUCAGUUGGUCAACAAAGUUCCCAACAUAAAGGACACUGUUGGGAGACCUGAUUAAAAUGGGUCCAUGGCAGUAUACUGAUAGUAAGAAUAAACAGACCAUUUGUAACUAAAUAGAGUCGUGGGUUAGGCUCAGUGACUUGUUAACUGAUGUCAUCAUACUCGUCGUUUUAGUGUUCAUAAUAUCAAUCACUGGAUUUUCUAGUGCAGAGUCAAUGAGUUCCAGUCCACAUGUUAGAGCUGGAAUAAUGCUAAUAAGGAAAGGAAUGAUAAUCCUGGUGAGCAUUAACUGAAUGUAAUUAAAACCUUAUCACUUUCCUGUUAAAAGAAUAGGUUGUUUUCCAUUUCCUUUUAAAAUAGAUACGGCUUACAUGUGUCAAAGGAGGUAAGCCAUGUUAACAAACGACAGACAUGCACAGAGGUUUGAGAAUAGCUUGCAGCAUAAUUAGCCCGAUAAUCUGUCUCAGCUAUAGGCACAACGUUAUUAUCUCUGCUGCAUUUGGGUUUGUAACCGCAGAAGGAAUUCUGAAGUAAAACCAGUCCUGCAAAAACAAAAUAUGAAAAACUUUUCUUGCAGUUAAUGAACCCAUAUCUGUUUUGACAGUCACUGCUCUCUUUCCCUCAGCACAUCCCCCCUUUCCUGGGUAAUUUAUCUUGAUUAUAUGUGUACAUUUAUUAUUAAAAAAUAGGUUUACCUUACCAUGAAAUCAAUUUAUUCUGUCAUUAAUCAUUCCGUGAUCGUGGCCUAGAUGUUGACUCUGUUGCACAUGUAAUUAUGAUGGAUUACUUGGGACAAGAUGAGGUUGUUUGCUUGGCAUGCAACAGCCAUUAUGAGGGGCAUGAUUCAUCAGCUAAUUGCAAACCGUGGCAUAUCAUCUAUGUUAGGAAAGACAAGGGUUUAUAUGUCAAAUACUUCAUUUAUAAGCUAAACAGCCUUCUGAUUCUCCUCAUUUACCUUGUCGAGUUGAAUCUAAAUUUUGUUGAGGGAACAUGAAAUGUGAUGAGGUGUCAGUCUGAUGCUUUGUCAAGAGCAACAGAAGCUGGUUUAUCUUAUGCUCGGAGUUGUGAAGCAGAUGCAGGUCUUGUAAUGUAAUGCAGGGAGAAGUAAUCGUUAUUGUUGAGCACAACAUGAAACCUAACAGUCAAUAGCUUACCGUAACACACAUAUUGAAUAGAAUAUUCAAUUAAGCAAGUUCAUGGAUAGUGUCACAUUUCUGUUUUAGGGGCAUAAUGAGAAAUAAUUCUUGCACGUUGUAUUAUUGCAGUUAAUCUGAAGAUAACAAUGUUGCAUUUUCUGUCAUUUGUUUUAUCCACUUGAUUAGUUCCAGUUAUGUUAAUCCUUCCAAACUGUUUAUUUUACUAUCGUGCAAGGAUCCAGGUCCCCAUCGCAUGUAUAACUAAAUUAAGCAAACUCACAAACACUUCAAAUUCUGGGUCAUGUCCAGAACUCUAUGUGAGGUUUAACAACUUAUAAUAAUUGCACAAAAAAAUUGUCAAUUAUUUGGCAGUUCACUCUCUGUUCUGUAUGUACUUUUUUUUUCUUUUCUUUUUGGACUGCAUCCUGCAUUCUUCAAUCUAAUUUGCUGUUCAUUCAGUAGGUUUAUGUCAAUGUUCUCAUGUUUCAGCUUUGUCCUUUGACAAAUAUACAACACUUGCACAAAAAGAUCUCAUUUUACCUCAAAUUUCCAGACACCUUAACUUUCAGAUUUACUGAUUUCUCAACUAUCACCUUUAUCACUCUUAGAAUUUCUUGGGCACUUUAAGAACUAAUUACAUUUGGCAUUGACAUGAGGACAAAGUCAACUAGCGAGUCCUGUGUGCAGGCAUAAUAGGAUAGAGAUAAGAGGGCCAUGCACGCAAGCUGUUGUAGCCUGUAAUUAUAUACAGCGUUCCUCCCUAAUAGCAUAUGACCUAGACAUCAUCCUUGUCUCUCUCACCUCAUCAGUUAUGCAGUCAGGCUACCGACACCAUGUAUAUGCAGGAUAGCAUUGUUGGAUUAUACUACCAGAUAGUCAUCUCAAGGGAGACCACAUUUCUAGGUUACUGGAGACAGUUCUGUCUCGAGUUCAGCAACUGGUUGAACCAUUGAAUCUUUCUAAUUUGUACAUUUGCACUGAUGGAAACUGGGGUAUGGUUAUGCACGGAGUAGAUUUGAAACCACUGUGAACCUGAACUGCCAUCAUGUCUAGUCUGUCAGUAGUUGAUAUGUCAGCAGAUAUGUAUUCAUUACAUGAAAUGCACAAUCAUGUAAUUUACAGACUGACAUGAAGAAUGACAGCAUUGCAAUCCACUGACAAGACAUUCUGUACAAAGUAAUUCAACUAGUUGUCCUGAGACAGCUACUGGGCAAAGUCAAAUUGGAAGUCAAAAGACCAUCCGAAACCCACAUUGUCUGUAGACUUAAAAUAAAUACUCAUGAUGUUGAUCACUGGAUUGUCUGGUCCAGACUAAAUUAUUUAUAGACUGUCGCCAUAUAGCUGGAAUAUUGCUGAGUGCAGCGUUCAACAACAAACAAACAUAAAUAAAUAUCAAUGUACCUUUUAACAACCCAGAUACACAAUGUCACAGUUUAACACAAGUCAUAAAUUACUGACAGAGACAGAAAAGUAACUCAAGGCAGUAAAGCAGUGUUCCUUUAAGUUCCCAGCAGUGCAUCUGUAGGUAUGUGUAUGUAUAUGUAUGCUUGUAUAGCACCUUGAUAGGUAUACCUGUAAUAUAGUUCUCACUUUGUGUACAUAGUUAGGUAUGUAACAUUGUCAGGAAUUCCUAUGUGGAUGUACAUAGUAUUAACAUACACCUGUGUGGUCAGAAACAUUAGGGUGGAAUAAAGGUGAUUAUAACACA